AGGUAAGCUACUAAGAGCCAAUGGCGGAUGCCUUGGUUGGUAGAGGCGAUGAAGGACGUACUAGACUGCGAUAAGUCUCAGGGAGCUGUCAAGAAGCUUUGAUCUGGGAAUUUCCGAAUGGGGCAACCCAGUAUAUAGUGAUAUAUACUACCAUUGUUAUGGAGCAAACGUGGGGAAUUGAAACAUCUUAGUACCCACAGGAAAAGAAAUCAAUAGAGAUUACGCUAGUAGCGGCGAGCGAACGCGUAAUAGGGCAAACCACUAGUUUACUAGUGGGGUUGUAGGACUGCAAUAAAGACUAAAAAGAGUUAAUAGAAUAAUCUGGAAAGUUUAAGCAUAGAGGGUGAUACUCCCGUAUAUGAAAACUCUUUUUUACUUAGCAGUAUCCUGAGUAGAACGAGGCACGUGAAACCUUGUUUGAAGCUGGGAAGACCACUUUCCAACCCUAAAUACUACUACCAAACCGAUAGUGUACAAGUACCGUGAGGGAAAGGUGAAAAGAACCGCGGUGAGCGGAGUGAAAUAGAACCUGAAACCAUUGGCUUACAAUCAUUCAGAGCACGAUUCUUUAUGACGUGUGAUGGACUGCCUUUUGCAUAAUGAGCCUGCGAGUUGUGAUAUCUGGCAAGGUUAAGGAAAUCCGGAGCCGUAGCGAAAGCAAGUCUUAAUAGGGCGUUUAGUCAGAUAUUGCAGACCCGAAACGAAGUGAUCUAUCCAUGAGCAGGUUGAAACCGGUGUAAGAGCCGGCGGAGGACCGAACCCGCUGACGUUGAAAAGUCUUGGGAUGACUUGUGGAUAGGGGUGAAAGGCCAAUCAAACUUCGUGAUAGCUGGUUCUCUCCGAAAUAUAUUGAGGUAUAGCGUUAUGUAGUAACUAUAGGGGGUAGAGCACUGAAUGGGCUAGGGCAUACACCAAUGUACCAAACCCUAUCAAACUCCGAAUACCUAUAGUGUAAUCAUAGCAGUCAGGCGGCGAGUGAUAAAAUCCGUCGUCAAGAGGGGAACAACCCAGACUACCGACUAAGGUCCCAAAAUCUUAUUUAAGUGGAAAACGAUGUGAAGUUACUUAAACAACCAGGAGGUUGGCUUAGAAGCAGCCAUCCUUUAAAGAUAGCGUAAUAGCUCACUGGUCUAGUGAUUUUGCGCGGAAAAUAUAACGGGGCUAAAAUAAGUACCGAAGUCGUAGACUUAGUUUUACUAAGUGGUAGGAGAGCGUUGUAUUUAGCGUUGAAGAUGUACCGGUAAGGAGCGUUGGAGCAAAUACAAGUGAGCAUGCAGGCAUGAGUAGCGUUAAAUCAGGUGAGAAUCCUGAUCGCCGAAAACCCAAGGUUUCCUACGCGAUGCUCGUCAUCGUAGGGUUAGUCGGGUCCUAAGCAAAGUCCGAAAGGGGUAUGCGAUGGAAAAUUGGUUAAUAUUCCAAUACCAAUUAUUAUGUGCGAUGGAAGGACGCUUAGAGUUAGUGGGGCUAACUGAUGGAAUAGUUAGUCUAAGAGUGUAGGUUGAGUUAUAGGCAAAUCCGUAACUCUUUAUCCGAAACUUUAAAGGCUUUUCAAACUCUUCGGAGAGCGAGAAGAACCCAUGAUACUGUCGAGCCAAGAAAAGUUUCUAAGUUUAGUAAUAAUUGCCCGUACCGUAAACCGACACAGGUGGGUGGGAUGAGUAUUCUAAGGCGCGUGGAAGAACUCUCUUUAAGGAACUCUGCAAAAUAGCACCGUAUCUUCGGUAUAAGGUGUGCCUACCAGGGUGCAAGCCCUAGAGGUUACAACAAAGAGUCCCUCCCGACUGUUUACCAAAAACACAGCACUCUGCUAACACGUAAGUGGAUGUAUAGGGUGUGACGCCUGCCCGGUGCUCGAAGGUUAAUUGAUGGGGUUAGCAUUAGCGAAGCUCUUGAUCGAAGCCCGAGUAAACGGCGGCCGUAACUAUAACGGUCCUAAGGUAGCGAAAUUCCUUGUCGGUUAAAUACCGACCUGCAUGAAUGGCGUAACGAGAUGGGAGCUGUCUCAAAGAGGGAUCCAGUGAAAUUGUAGUGGAGGUGAAAAUUCCUCCUACCCGCGGCAAGACGGAAAGACCCCGUGGACCUUUACUAUAGCUUGACACUGCUACUUGGAUAAAGAUGUGCAGGAUAGGUGGGAGGCUUUGAUUAAUAGACGCCAGUUUAUUAUGAGCCAUUGUUGAGAUACCACUCUUCUUUAUUCGGGUAGCUAACUAGCAUAUGUUAUCCAUAUGUAGGACAAUGUCUGGUGGGUAGUUUGACUGGGGCGGUCGCCUCCCAAAUAAUAACGGAGGCUUACAAAGGUUAGUUCAAAACGGUUGGAAAUCGUUUGUAGAGUAUAAAGGCAUAAACUAGCUUAACUGCGAGGCCAACAAGCCAAGCAGAGACGAAAGUCGGUCUUAGUGAUCCGGUGGUUCUGUGUGGAAGGGCCAUCGCUCAAAGGAUAAAAGGUACCCCGGGGAUAACAGGCUGAUCUCCCCCAAGAGCUCACAUCGACGGGGAGGUUUGGCACCUCGAUGUCGGCUCAUCGCAUCCUGGGGCUGGAGCAGGUCCCAAGGGUAUGGCUGUUCGCCAUUUAAAGCGGUACGCGAGCUGGGUUCAGAACGUCGUGAGACAGUUCGGUCCCUAUCUGCCGUGGGCGUAAGAAGAUUGAGGAGAGUUGACCCUAGUACGAGAGGACCGGGUUGAACCAACCACUGGUGUAUCUGUUGUUCUGCCAAGAGCAUCGCAGAGUAGCUAAGUUGGGAUGUGAUAAGAGCUGAAAGCAUCUAAGCUCGAAGCCAACUCCAAGAUUAAUCUUCUUUUAAGAGCUCUAGUAGACUACUAGUUUGAUAGGCUGGGUGUGUAAGUGAUGUAAGUCAUUUAGCUGACCAGUACUAAUAGCUCGUUUGCUUAUCUUA
rnacentral:rRNA from 1 species